UCGAAAUGCAUUCAUUUAUCUGCUACUUUAAUUCGCCUGAAUUAAAACACCUUUAAAUAUGAGUUACCUGACAAGGAGCUUUGAUGCAGGAGGAAGCCAAUUUGUUUGAUUUGAUUUUCAAUUUUGUUUGACUGCCAGACAGGCAGACAGAGUAAAAAAAUUCUCACUCCUCUCUGCGCACGUGCGAUCGGGACAAAUUCAUCGCCAAAUUAAUGUUAAACUACAGGUUCAUUUUCCAAUUCACGUUCAAAGUAUAACAUUCAAUUGAAAUGAAGUUGUUCCUCAAUCAUAAACUGAUGUUUGUAGACAGACAGACAAAGUGAACCAAUUGCUUAACCACGCUUUUUGCUUUACGCAUGCGGAGUAAUUACAAUGCGAUUUUUACACGAGUUUGUUGCCUAAUAAUUGUAAUUAAAUAUGUAGUGGAUCACUCUAUAUAUAGCAAAGCAGUCCACACUGAGUUGAAUGUUGCGCACUUUGUUAUUUAUUGUAGGAUAUGGCCCUUCACGGUGGAAAGUUCAUCGAGUCAGAUGCGCGACCUCGCAGGCACUUCAGACACUCAGUCGGACCACAGCUAUGAGUCUUGUGAGCCGGCAACCUCAACUACGACUGACAUCUACAGUAACUUGCACUAUAUGGUCACCACACAAGAAGAACUUUCAGAAAGUAACUUCGACACAGGCAGCUCACAAAGCUGGCCAAAUGGUCAGCAGUAUGAAAGUACGGAAAGCAGUGGAUACUUCGACAUGGGUGAGCGGAGGCCACCAUUGUAUGGAGUUUGGCAGACCACCAAUCAAAACGGAGGACGAGUGUGGGACAUGCUGCCAAUGGAGGAUAUCUUGGAGGAAGGAAGUUCAGAUGUAUCAAAUGAUAAUCAGCCACUUUCAUCUCUUAUGGUGGCAAAAUCCAAUCAACCGCACGGCCUCCUCGUUUAAAACAAUUUAAUAACCAUGUGUAACCCCAUACUUGCAUGCAGUUGUUCAAUGUAGGCCUAUAUCCAAUAACCUCAGCUUUAUUCCAAUUCCACACCGACAUGCCAAAUAAAUUCCUGCAAGUCAAAGUAACUUUCAAGCCUUUUUGAAACAUUUUCGUUCCUCUUUGCCAAGCUUGCUUUGUAACUGAAGGAUCUUUUCUUUUUCACUAUUCACUGACGCCUUGAGCCAGGAAGUUGCGUAAAAUUGUUGUUGCUUUUUGACUUUAAUAAUUUCAAAAUAUUUCCCCAUAAUUUCACAUCAACAGGUAGGAAAGCUUGGUGUUGGCUCAGUUGUUAGGGUGGCUGGCUUGGGAUCUUCGGUUCCUGAGUUCAAGCGCCUGUUGGCUGUUGAAGUAACACGAGGUGGGGUGGUUAAUUCAGCCUGUGUUGCUUCUGAGGUUGGUGAAAUGAGCACCAGUGCACUAAUAAUGGGGGUAUUGCAUCAGUGGCAGCUUUUUUAGCUGUAUUGUUUUCUUUCCUCACCGAUGAAUCAUCAAUCUCAAUUCAAUUCAUUAAAUGCUCAUUAUGUAAAAUUAAUCAAUGUGACAGUCUGACUCCACCAACUUCGGAUGAGAUUCUGUCUUUAAUAGACCCUUAAAAAGUGAGUCGAUGAAGAAUGCAUUGCAGGCCUCAGACUUUUGAAGAAGCAUGCAAACUACCACCUCCCAGACCCCCCCCCCCCCCCCCCCC
rnacentral:lncRNA from 1 species